CUCAGAUUCUAAAGGCAGCCCAAAUGGGUUUUCUGAUACAAAGGUAGAUGGUCAUCUCUGCUUCCAUCUUCGGAAACUGUGGUGAGCCUGGUGUUUCCUUCAGAUUUCACGGAGCUUCCAGAACUGCAGACGGCUAAGUUAAGCACUGUGUCCUGAGAAUUAGCUCACUGCUCUCUCUGCCUUUGGGCCAGAGCACCCACAAAAACGAGGAAUUUGCCGAAGUCUGUCAUAUAAAGCCAGAGGAAAUCAAAGAGCAGAGAAAGAUUUGGAACACUUGAGCAGAGGAUAAAAACUUCAUCCUACCCUCAGCCAGUCCCAGGCCUGGACUCCAAAGCUCACAGGAGCCUGCGUGUGGGUGCACAGAGCUCAUUGCCUUGGAUGGAACACAGCUGGAAGCACACCAGGGGAACACAGCGGCAGAUGAAAGGAGUUUCUUCAUCAGGACUCCCUUGUCACUUACAGUCCUGCUUCUCAGACUUUAAGGUUCAUGGACAGACCACACUGAGAAGUGAGGGCCUACCGAAAAGGGAGGAGCCUCUUCCAGCAGAAGCAGCUUUGCCUUCAGAAAUGCCAGCCCUGGGAUCCCUGGGUGGCGCAGCAGUUUGGCGCCUGCCUUUGGCCCAGGGCGCGAUCCUGGAGACCCGGGAUCGAAUCCCA